AAAAAUUGGAAUGAUACGGAGAAAAUUAGCAUGGCCCCUGUGCAAGCAGGACACUCAAAUUUGUGAAGCAUUCCAUAUUUUU
rnacentral:snRNA from 1 species